rnacentral:tRNA from 2 species
GGUACCAUAGUGUAGUGGUUAGCACAUCUGCUUCAUGCGCAGAAGGUCCUGGGUUUGAGCCGCAGUGGAACCA